rnacentral:rRNA from 1 species
AACGAACGCUGGCGGUAUGCCUAACACAUGCAAGUCGAACGACACCUUCGGAUCUAGUGGCUCACGGGUGCGUCACGUGUGGGAACCUGCCCUUAGGUUCGGAAUAACUCUCCGAAAGGGGUGCUAAUACCGGAUAAUUUCUUCGGACCCAAGAUUUAUCGCGCUUGGAUGGGCCCGCGUUGGUUUAGCUUGUUGGUAGGGUAAAAGCCUACCAAGGCGUGGAUACAUAGCUGGGCUGAGAGGAUGGGCAGCGACACUGAGACUGAGACACGGCGCAGAAUCUUACAGAAUGCGGCAGAGGGGAAUAUUGGAAAACGGGGUGGAUGAUGAUCCAGCAAUGCUGCGUGAGUGAUGAUGUCGUGAGGGUAGUAAAGCACUUUUACCCGCCAUGGUACUGACGGUACCGGAAGAAUAAGCACCGGCUAACUCCGUG